GCAAUGGUCGGUCUUUCAACUGACGAGCCGAGAGCCAGCAGUGUCUUUUUGCACGAAUUCGGUGCCAAAGCUAGAAGAACAGUUCGCACGAAUUAAAGGCUAGAGCCUUCAACACAGUUGAGAAUUUGAGAAUAUAGGUCUACAAUUUUCUUCAGACUUGAACUCAGAUUUGCAAGUUGAUUUUGACAUAACUUUGUUGAAUUAUGGCUAAAAAUUUUCAGCUUUUAUUAGUUUUAGUGUGGAGCUGUAAAACUUAACCAUUGUUGGGUGUAAGUAAGUAGAUUUCACAGAUGUCGUUUCAUCUCACUUGAGUGUCCUGUUCGCUCCUUCAGACAAACAUUAGCUCUUCAUGUAUGAGGCACACUUCCUCAAUUUCCACGACUGAAAGUUAAAACCGAAGUUUCCUCAUCUUAAUUGUGUAGCUCUUUAGAAAAGCCAUUCACAAGUAUUUCCUGAGCUUCCGUUUUCCAUGCUUAACACUUGAGUGGAUGCUCACGGGUGUGCCAGGAACUCCUAUACACAAAUAGAUUAGCACUUAAUGAGGAAGAGAAUGGAUAAAAACAGUGAAAACAGUAAUUGUGCCACAAAGAGAGUACCUGGGAGUAUAUGAUACAGAGUAAUUGGGUAGAAUAAAUAAAAGAGCUACUACUGAGUCAUAAUCCUGGGGCUUAGCUCACGUAGGUCAACUCAACACUGCUCUUGAAUGCCUGCUGUGCCCAGAUACUGAGUUAGACUCUUUCUGCUACAGAGUUAAACAUGUUCAAAACAUCAUUUACCAGCAGGUGACAUGGGAAGUAAUAGGACGUAUUUAAUAGGAAAGGCGAAAUGUAAUUCUGUCAGGGAAAGUCAGAGAAGUUUUCACAGAUGAGGUAAUGAAUUUAAUUUUUAUUUCUUCAUUUUACAAGUAAUUUGUAGAAAAAAUAAGUAGGAAGCAAAGAGGAAGUAGGAAGGAAGAUCAAUGUCCUUCAGACGCCCAUGAUCAUACCAUGCAAACAUGACUACUGUUAAUAUUUAUGUCAUUUCGAUGCAUAUACUUUUUAACAAUAUUAACAGAAAAACUUAACUGGAUCCUACCCGUUGUUUUGCAGUCUGCUGAAUAUGUAAAACAGGUAAUAUUCCUUCAUAAUAGCCUGAACAGGGUUGUGAGGGGUGAUUAAAAGUUGAGCAUGAGGGAACAGCCCGCAUGCAGAGGACAAAGGCAUAGACCUGUUCCAACAGCAUGUGUCAGGUUGUCUGGCUCCAGCGACAGUACUGCUCACACUGCAGUUGGGUCCUGCUGCAGAGUCCGGUCCUGAUCUGGACCCCGUUCAAAGACUGCUACCGCUGCUUCCUCUCAGUAGAGUUGGAAACGAAGGCCUUCUCCAGAUCAGUGGCCAAAGCCAUGAGUCUGUUAACGUGCUCCUGUAAGGUUACCAUAUCUGGCAUUGCAUCUGUAUUGGGACGACUACGUGGUUGAAUUUCUAGUGGGUCACUGUCCUACUCCAGGUUCUGCCUGAUUUUUAUAAGGGGCAGACUGGUAAGUUACAUGGGAAUAUGUUGGUGACCACCGCCUUUGUAUCUUUGGGUCUUCUUAAGGUAGCACUAUGGCUGACGCUCCCCCAUGGAUGUAAUACUGUUUGGGAUUUACUGUCUCCGUCUGGGGAGGGGCAGGGGGAGUGCAGUUUCAGAGGCUCCCAUUCAGCUUUUCCCAUUAUGGUAGCUUUCAACCCACCCCCAGAGGAACCAAAGUAGGAAUUGUUGUUGUCAAUUACGAGUAUAUCCAUUCAGUUUACACACUGGAAAUAAAUGAUAACCAAAUAAAUCUGUGGA